rnacentral:rRNA from 1 species
GACGAACGCUGGCGGCGUGCUUAACACAUGCAAGUCGAACGAAGAGCGAUGGAAGCUUGCUUCUAUCAAUCUUAGUGGCGAACGGGUGAGUAACGCGUAAUCAACCUGCCCUUCAGAGGGGGACAACAGUUGGAAACGACUGCUAAUACCGCAUACGAUCUAAUCUCGGCAUCGAGGAUAGAUGAAAGGUGGCCUCUACAUGUAAGCUAUCACUGAAGGAGGGGAUUGCGUCUGAUUAGCUAGUUGGAGGGGUAACGGCCCACCAAGGCGAUGAUCAGUAGCCGGUCUGAGAGGAUGAACGGCCACAUUGGGACUGAGACACGGCCCAGACUCCUACGGGAGGCAGCAGGGGGGAAUCUUCCGCAAUGGACGAAAGUCUGACGGAGCAACGCCGCGUGAGUGAUGACGGCCUUCGGGUUGCAAAGCUCUGUUAAUCGGGACGAAAGGCCUUCUUGCGAAUAGUGAGAAGGAUUGACGGUACCGGAAUAGAAAGCCACGGCUAACUACGUG